rnacentral:rRNA from 1 species
UAACCGCUGGCGGCGCACAUACGACAUGCAAGUUGACCGGCCUUAAUCGAAAUAUUUAUAUUUUGAAGCGGUUAGUGGCGGACUGGUGAGUAACGCGUAAGGAACCUGCCUAUUAGAGGGGAAUAACAGUGAGAAAUCAUUGCUAAUACCGCAUAUGCCAUAGAUAUCACAUGAUAACAGUGGGAAAGGAGCAAUCCGCUAAUAGAUGGCCUUGCGUCUGAUUAGAUAGUUGGUGGGGUAACGGCCUACCAAGUCGACGAUCAGUAGCCGGACUGAGAGGUUGAACGGCCACAUUGGGACUGAGAUACGGCCCAGACUCCUACGGGAGGCAGCAGUCGGGAAUAUUGCGCAAUGGAGGAAACUCUGACGCAGUGACGCCGCGUAUAGGAAGAAGGUUUUCGGAUUGUAAACUAUUGUCGUUAGGGAAGAGAAAGGACAGUACCUAAGGAGGAAGCUCCGGCUAACUACGUG